ACUAAAUAGAUACCCUGGUAGUCCUGGCCCUAAACGAUGUCCACUAGAUUACGGCGCCUUUGACGGCGUCGUGGUCGAAAGCAAAAAAAGUGUUAAGUGGACCGCCUGGGAAGUACGGUCGCAAGGCUAAAACUCAAAGGAAUUGACGGGGCGUCACACAAGCGGUGGAGCACGUGGUUUAAUUACGAAAGCAACGCGCAGAACCUUACCUGGGCGUUGACAUGCUAGGAUUAUCCCGGUCGAAAGCCGGUAGGCCCGCAAGGGUACGAACUAGUACAGGUGCUGCAUGGCGUGUCGUCAGCUCGUGUCGUGAGAUGUCGGGUUAAGUCCCUUAACGAGCGAAACCUUUACCCUUAGUUACCAGCGGGUUAUGCCGGGGACGUCUAAGGGGACCGCCGGUGUCAACCGGAGGAAGGUGGAGAUGACGUCAAGUCCUCAUGGCCUUUAUGCCCAGGGCCACACACGUGCUACAAUGGCGUUGACAAAGCGACCCUAAACGCGCGAGCUCAUGGAAAUCGCAGAAAUAACGCCCCAGUUCAGAUCGGAGGCUGCAACUCGCCUCCGUGAAGUU
rnacentral:rRNA from 1 species